CUGACACAGGUGCUGCAUGGCUGUCGUCAGCUCGUGUCGUGAGAUGUUGGGUUAAGUCCGUAACGAGCGCAACCCUUGUCCUUAGUUACCAGCACGUUAUGGUGGGCACUCUAAGGAGACUGCCGGUGACAAACCGGAGGAAGGUGGGGGAUGACGUCAAGUCAUCAUGGCCCUUACGGCCUGGGCUACACACGUGCUACAAUGGUCGGUACAAAGGGUUGGCCAAGCCGCGAGGUGGAGCUAAUCCCAUAAAACCGAUCGUAGUCCGGAUCGCAGUCUGCAACUCGACUGCGUGAAGUCGGAAUCGCUAGUAAUCGUGAAUCAGAAUGUCACGGUGAAUACGUUCCCGGGCCUU
rnacentral:rRNA from 1 species